rnacentral:lncRNA from 1 species
AAAAAUUAUGUCGUUAGUAACUUCUGCAUGCAACGAACUAUUAUCAGCAAGUUUGAUUUUGUUCUUCUUCGACGAGUCAAAAUUUGCUAACCACACUUUUUGACCAGUCAUGUGAUUCGAGGAACUAGAUCUUGGAUUCGACAUGGUUAUCUACAACUGCAACCAUAAUCAAUAUACCUUCAAAAUCAUAUGAAUCUUGGUCUGUAAGGUUCA